GAGUGAUAGCAGCAAAGACAGAAGAAUUGGCUGGGAAGCCAAGCGACACAGGGUGAUAGCCCCGUAUUCGAAGUUUUUGUUGUGGUACUAAGCUAACGAUAAGUAGGGCGGGACACGAGAAAUCCUGUUUGAAGAUGGGGGGACCAUCCUCCAAGGCUAAAUACUCCUGAUUGACCGAUAGUGAACCAGUACUGUGAAGGAAAGGCGAAAAGAACCCCAGUGAGGGGAGUGAAAUAGAACCUGAAACCGUGUACGUACAAGCAGUGGGAGCCCUUUGGGGUGACUGCGUACCUUUUGUAUAAUGGGUCAGCGACUUAUAUUUUGUAGCGAGGUUAACUGAAUAAGGGAGCCGAAGGGAAACCGAGUCUUAACUGGGCGGAUAGUUGCAAGGUAUAGACCCGAAACCCGGUGAUCUAGCCAUGGGCAGGUUGAAGGUUGGGUAACACUAACUGGAGGACCGAACCGACUAAUGUUGAAAAAUUAGCGGAUGACUUGUGGCUGGGGGUGAAAGGCCAAUCAAACCGGGAGAUAGCUGGUUCUCCCCGAAAUCUAUUUAGGUAGAGCCUUAUGUGAAUACCUUCGGGGGUAGAGCACUGUUUCGGCUAGGGGUCCAUCCCGGAUUACCAACCCGAUGCAAACUGCGAAUACCGAAGAGUAGUGCAUAGGAGACACACGGUGGGUGCUAACGUCCAUCGUGGAGAGGGAAACAACCCAGACCGCCAGCUAAGGUCCCAAAGUCUAUAUUAAGUGGGAAACGAAGUGGGAAGGCUUAGACAGCUAGGAUGUUGGCUUAGAAGCAGCCAUCAUUUAAAGAAAGCGUAAUAGCUCACUAGUCGAGUCGGCCUGCGCGGAAGAUGUAACGGGGCUAAAAUAUAGCACCGAAGCUGCGGCAUCAGGCGUAUCACUAAUACGCCUUAAGAUUAACAACAUCGAAUGAAGUGAAACGGAAAGAGAUGUUGGUCAAGCAACCCGAACGUUGAGUCGGAAAGUAAUCGAAGAGAGGAUUAUUAGUGAUACGUCUGUUGGGUAGGGGAGCGUUGUGUAAGCGGAUGAAGGUGAAUCGAGAGGUUUGCUGGACGUAUCACAAGUGCGAAUGCUGACAUAAGUAACGAUAAAACGAGUGAAAAACUCGUUCGCCGGAAGACCAAGGGUUCCUGUCCAACGUUAAUCGGGGCAGGGUGAGUCGGCCCCUAAGGCGAGGCUGAAAAGCGUAGUCGAUGGGAAACGGGUUAAUAUUCCCGUACUUGGUAAAGCUGCGAUGUGGGGACGGAGAAGGUUAGGUUAGCAGACUGUUGGAUGUCUGUUUAAGUUGGUAGGUGGGGAGUUUAGGCAAAUCCGGACUUCCAUAACACUGAGAGAUGAUGACGAGUUUCUACGGAAAUGAAGUAACUGAUACCACGCUUCCAGGAAAAGCCACUAAGCGAAAGGCUUUACUAAACCGUACUGAAAACCGACACAGGUGGUCAGGUAGAGAAUACUCAGGCGCUUGAGAGAACUCGGGUGAAGGAACUAGGCAAAAUAGCACCGUAACUUCGGGAGAAGGUGCGCUGGCGUAGGUUGUAGGAGUAUACCUCCGAAGGCUGAACCAGUCGAAGAUACCAGCUGGCUGCAACUGUUUAUUAAAAACACAGCACUCUGCAAACACGAAAGUGGACGUAUAGGGUGUGAUGCCUGCCCGGUGCUGGAAGGUUAAUUGAUGGUGUUAUCGAAAGAGAAGCUCCUGAUCGAAGCCCCAGUAAACGGCGGCCGUAACUAUAACGGUCCUAAGGUAGCGAAAUUCCUUGUCGGGUAAGUUCCGACCUGCACGAAUGGCAUAAUGAUGGCCAGGCUGUCUCCACCCGAGACUCAGUGAAAUUGAAAUCGCCGUGAAGAUGCGGUGUACCCGCGGCUAGACGGAAAGACCCCGUGAACCUUUACUAUAGCUUGACACUGAACAUUGAAUUUUGAUGUGUAGGAUAGGUGGGAGCCUAAGAAGCAGUCACGCCAGUGAUUGUGGAGGCGUCCUUGAAAUACCACCCUUUAACGUUUGAUGUUCUAACGAAGAUUGC
rnacentral:rRNA from 1 species